GACAAGGCGUGGGACUUGCUGAACACCUCCCCAUGGUCGUGGUAUUCCUCCGGAACAGGGAAUAGGUUAAGAGGCGUGGGGGCAGGCUCGAGCUCUGGUGCUCGAGCGCAUACGGCGUUCUCUCUCCGCGGGGGAGAGAUUCGUGCGUCCGAUCUGCAUGGGCUCGGGGGAGUGUCCCCGCUCGCGGCGGGGUGGAGCGGAGAACGAAGCGGAGGGCCGAGGUGUUGCAGGCGGCUCGGACCUGUGCGAGACUGGGCGUGACCCUCUCUCCCUGCGGCGUUCGCUCAACCGAUUGUCGAACCGAAUGGAGAGGGCGAUCAACUCAUCCAGACCCGCGGAUUCCUCCCGAGAAGUCAGCUGGUCCUUGAUGUCGUCAGAUAGAGCGUUUAAGAAAACCCCCUGCAGGGCUUCCUCGUUCCAGCCGCUCUCAGCCGUCAGGGUGCGGAACUCAACAGCGAAGGAGGCGACGCUGCGGGAUCCCUGGCGGAGAUGCAGAAGGCGCUAAGCCUCCUUUCCCCGGACCGGGUGAUCGAAAACCCUCCGCAUCUCCUCGGUGAAGGCGGAAUAGUCACUGCAAACCGCGGAACCACGUUCCCACACGGCCGUAGCCCAAGCGAGCGCCUCGCCUCGCAGGGAACCGAUGAGGUAGGCGACCCGUGACUUGUCGGUGGGGUAGGUCAGAGGCUGCAGUUCGAAGACCAAAGAACACUGGAGAAGGAAGGACCGGCAGGAUCCCAGGUCCCCCUCGUAGCGUUCUGGGGCAGGAAUGUACGGCUCCCGGGACGAAGCCGAUGGACCCGGAACAGCGACGGAUGGAUCAGGAGAGACGGCGCGCUGGGAGCGUACAAAGGAAGGAGUGUUACCACGGGGACAGACUGCUAUAAAGCUCGAGAUUGCUGGUUGGACCGAUACUGACUGUGCAGAAGUAACGACGAACUGGCGCCGGCUGGCAGGAGAUCUCCGACUGAAGUAGGGACUGGUGAUGAGAUUACUGCAGACAGGUGUGGAAGGAGAAGGACCACCGGCGCCAAGUGGCCACUAGGUGGAGUGUUUGUCAAAUUCAGGACUGGCGCUGGGAGCUGUAGGUGGAGGGAAGACCAGGAGUGGUGCAGCUCUGCAGAUGCUGAAGGGGACUGAGGCGACGCAGUUGGAGGUCCCUGCGGUGGCGGUCAGCGGGAGGUGUCAAGACCAACCAGCUCCUCGUCCAGGAAAGGUCACGAUGGAAUAGCAGAUGGCUGUGCAGUUGCCAUGGCGGAGAGACCCAGAGUACGAUGACCGAACAGUUGAUCUACAACAGUGGCCUACUCCCCAUCCACCCUGAGGAUCCCUGGCUACACCUACAAUCCAAUCUACCCCAGACAUAACCACUUGGAGCUCAACUACUCCUACAACUCCCCCUGCCUCCUACACACCAUAGUGUUACCACUUUACCAUUUUAACUUUAAAACAAAGUACUGUAAUUCACACAAGGUUGUAGGAAAAGCAUGUUUACCUGAAUGAUUUAUGCCUUUUAUUUCUGUGACCCCAACUAUUGUAUUUCUGACCCAGUUAUCUCUGAACCCUCUUUCUAAGGGAGCGACUAAAGGGACAAAGCUGGAGCUAACCUGAGCUUAACAAUCUUUCUAAUCUUUCUUUCAAAUGCCCUAGCUUGAAUCACAUAAAAUGCCUAAAGUAACUUGUCUAACAAAACAAAAAGCCAACCUAAUACCCAAACUUAACCAUCUAACUAUAGAUCUCAAAUGCCUAAACUCUCUUACCCUAAAUUGAACCAUUUAACUAAACACCUCAAAGGCCUAAACUCGCUUAUCUCAACCUAACCUAAUACCCAAACUUAACCAUCUAACUGAAGAGCUCAAACGCCUAAACUCUUACCAUAACAUAGUACCUAAACUGAACCAUCUUACUAAACAUCUCAAAGGCCUAAACUCGCUUACCUCAACCUAACCUAAUACCCAGACUUAACCAUCUAACUGAAGAGCUCAAACGCCUAAACUCUUACCAUAACAUAGUACCUAAACUGAACCAUCUAACUAAACAUCUCAAAGGCCUAAACUCGCUUACCUCAACCUAACCUAAUACCCAAACUUGACCCUCUAACUAAACAUCUCUAAUGCCUAAACUCUUUCCUAAUACCUAAACAAUCUUUAAUACAAUCACUAAUGCCUAAACUUAACCAAACACCAAUAGUAAAAGUUAACCAUCCUUAAUCUUAAACCCAAACCAGACUUGUCCCUGGGUCACUCCACUUUGUUUCUUUAAAGGCAUCUCUUUUCCCCCGCAUCUGUGUUUUAUUCCUUGAGGACUUCAAGUACUUCA
ensembl:lncRNA